ensembl:miRNA
GCGCCACCACAGAGCAGGGGCUGUGGGCUGCAGCACCAUGAAGAGGUUCCCAGCACCCAGUGUCUGCUUGUCUUGC